rnacentral:rRNA from 1 species
GGGAACUCUCGGACAGUUUGUGAUCUUGUGAGUCUGGUGCAGGCUCAAUCCCCUAGUAUUGUUUUUCUUUGUGAGACUAGGCAGUCUAAGAAUAAAAUGAAGAGGUACCGUGCUCGGUUAGGUUUAAGAGGUUUUGAUGCUUUCGAUUGUGUGGGUCGUAGUGGAGGUCUUGCUUUGUAUUGGCAUGAGUAUGCGAGUCUUGAUGUAAAAGAAAUAAAUGAACAAUAUAUUGACAUGUAUGUAACUGAUGCGGAGGGUGAGCCACCCUGGCGGCUCACCUGCGUCUAUGGCGAGCCCCGAACGGAGGACCAUCAUCGCAUGUGGUUCCUCCUCCGUAAUCUCCACCAGCAGGCCAGUAUGCCUUGGGUCGUGGUGGGUGAUUUCAACGAGGCGAUGUGGAGUUUUCACCACUUCUUCGACACACCGCGCUCGGCAUGUCAGAUGUUUGAUUUCCGUGAUGUUCUUGAGGUUUGUGGUCUGGGCGACCUUGGUUUUGCAGGUCUCCCAUACACCUUUGACAACCGGCGAGGUGGACGGGCAAACGUCAAGGUUCGCCUUGAUCGUGCUGUGGCUAACAAUGCCUAG